rnacentral:rRNA from 1 species
GAUUGAACUGAAGAGUUUGAUCCUGGCUCAGAUUGAACGCUGGCGGCAUGCUUUACACAUGCAAGUCGAACGCGAAAGGGG